rnacentral:rRNA from 1 species
GACAAACGCUGGCGGCGUGCAUAAAACAUGCAAGUCGGACGAGCCAAUCCCCGCAAGGGGAAAGGCUAGUGGCGAACGGCUGAGUAACACGUAGGUGACCUGCCCUGAAGUGGGGGAUAACGACUCGAAAGAGUCGCUAAUACCGCAUGUGACCACCGAUCCGUUUUCGGUGCUCAAAGUCGUAAGACGCUUUAGGAGGGGCCUGCGGCGGAUUAGCUAGUUGGUGAGGUAAUGGCCCACCAAGGCUUCGAUCCGUAGCUGGUCUGAGAGGAUGGCCAGCCAGACUGGGACUGAGACACGGCCCAGACUCCUACGGGAGGCAGCAGUUAGGAAUUUUGCGCAAUGGGGGAAACCCUGACGCAGCCACGCCGCGUGCGGGAUGAAGGCCUUCGGGUCGUAAACCGCCUUUCUCGAGGAAGACACCCGACGGUACUCGAGGCAUAAGCAACGGCUAACUACGUGC